rfam:Oryza punctata chromosome 7, whole genome shotgun sequence.
AAAAAGUGCAGUUUUGUAUUUUUCAUGUUCAACAUUUGACCGUUCGUCUUAUUUAAAUUUUUUUUAUAAUUAAUAUUUUUUUUAUUUUUAUGACUAAUUUUUUUUAAUUUUUUCAUAAACUUUUCAAAUAAAAUGGACGGUUAAACGUUGGACACAGAUAUCCACGACUGCACUUAAA